rnacentral:rRNA from 1 species
CGUCAGGCUCGUGUCGUGAGAUGUUGGGUUAAGUCCCGCAACGAGCGCAACCCCUGUGGUUAGUUGCCAGCAAGUAGCGUUGGGCACUCUAGCCAGACUGCCGGUGAUAAAUCGGAGGAAGGUGGGGACGACGUCAAAUCAUCAUGCCCUUUAUGCCCUGGGCUACACACGUACUACAAUGGCCGUUACAACGGGAAGCGAAGGAGCAAUCCGGAGCAAAUCCCUUAAAGGCGGUACCCAGUUCAGAUUGUGGGCUGAAACUCGCCCACAUGAAGGCGGAAUUGCUAGUAAUUGCAGAUCAGCAUGCUGCAGUGAAUACGUUCCCGGGCCCUU